AAUGAAUUCGAAGUUCUUCGCUAGCAUAACACUGCUGCGUGUGAACGAUUGCCACACUUAUUCUUUGUUGAGCGAUAUUUAGCGAUGAUCGGACUGCACAAACGUAUUGAUUUCUUGCUGGCUCGCGGCCGAAGCUUAACCAGACUGUGUUUGCACGAAGGUAUGCCCUAAAUUUGAUUUUUAAUCCACGUCUCAUAUAAAUGAAUGAGACGUUCUCCGCUAGCACAACAGUGCGACGUGUGAACGAUUGACACACUUAUUCUUUGUUGAGCGAUAUUUAGCGAUGAUCGGACUGCACAAACGUAUUGAUUUCGUGCUGGCUUGCGGCCGAAGCUUAACCAGACUGUGUUUGCACGAAGAUAUGCCCUAAAUUUGAUUUUUAAUCCACGUCUCGUAUAAAUGAAUGAGACGUUCUCCGCAAGCAUAACAUUGCUACGUGUGAAUGAUUGGCACACUUAUUCUUUGUUGAGCGAUAUUUAGCGAUGAUCGGACUGCACAAACGUAUUGAUUUCUUGCUGGCUUGCGGCCGAAGCUUAACCAGACUGUGUUUGCACGAAGAUAUGCCCUAAAUUUGAUUUUUAAUCCACGUCUCAUAUAAAUGAAUGAGACGUUCUCCGCUAGCACAACAGUGCGACGUGUGAACGAUUGACACAUUUAUUCUUUGUUGAGCGAUAUUUAGCGAUGAUCGGACUGCACAAACGUAUUGAUUUCUUGCUGGCUCGCGGCCGAAGCUUAACCAGACUGUGUUUGCACGAAGAUAUGCCCUAAAUUUGAAUUUUAAUCCACGUCUCGUAUAAAUGAAUGAGACGUUCUCCGCAAGCAUAACAUUGCUACGUGUGAAUGAUUGAAUGAAAUCAGAAGCAUGGCGUCUCUCUCAGUUAAGAAUGUAUUUUAUUUAGAAUCUAUAAUAUAUCGUUGAUUUGAAUGAAAUCAGAAGCAUGGAGUCUGUCUCAGUUCAGAAUGUGUAGUCACGGACUUUGUAAUAGUGACGACAGGUAUCCAGAAUGGCUAGUUGGUGGAGUUCGAUUCGUACCCUUUCCAAAACCGAAGACCCAGUACGAAAAAUGCCUUCGAUGGAUCAAACUUUGUGGAAGACCGCAUCAUCAACUAAAUCCAUCUAAUAUCAACCGGAACACAUAUGUUUGCACGAAGCGCACGUGGCGUGACGUCACUUCAGGAGGCGUGGUUAAGUGCCCUGUACGGAGGGGUCAAUUCAACAGGAAACAGAUCUGCGCUCAAAAGAAGAAGUCGCUGGCUGCAGAAGACCAGACAGAGCUAGACUAAUGGAAGGCACUUAGAGAAUAACUUUUAAAUGACUUCUGCCGUACUUACGAAUUCUAAAAUGCUUAUGAAUGUUAUUUCCAUUUCCUCAUCUGACAUAUGACACAAUAAUUCAAUCGAAACAAUGCUUAUGCCUUGCCCCAUUUGGGGAUGAUGUAAUUGUGAAUGCAAGUAAAAAUAAGCGGCCGGGGAGAACUGCUUCAGAGCGUGGUGGAGAAUUGUGGGAUGCAAUUCUCUUCCGUUCUUCUUUUAAGUAAGCAAACUGGUAACAAGUGCCUCCUUAUUUUAAACGGUUUUAACUAAAUGUCACCCUGAUUGACCCCAUUUGGUCCUUCGAGCUGGAUCCCAAGAUACCUGAGGCUUCCAGAGGCUGAGCCGGACGUCCAGAUAAAAACCGUGGCUACAGGUUUGGAGACCCUUUCCUAGAGACUGGGCGUCGGCUCUGUGUCUGGGAACAAAAGGUUGAUGGAUAACCAGGAACAGGUGUUCAGGUGGGAAGUCUCAACAAAACAUGGUGUCAUGAUAUCCACUGGCAAACUGCCCCACUGCUCCCACGCAGCGAUGUGUGCUGGAGCAGAGGAUGUACAAUUGGCUGGAUCCAUCUUUGGACCUCGGCUCGGUUUUUCCCAAAGGUGAAACUCCUCUUGGAAAGAUGGAGAUCCGACAUACAUUGAUACAAUUGGCAUUCCACGAGGCGUACCAGAUGGGUAUAAGUUGGCUAACCAGAUUGCUGCAGGAUGUGAAUCCAUCUUGUUACGGAUAACCCAGAAUAAAAAUGUUGACAGAAUCUACUACA